rnacentral:snoRNA from 1 species
AAGACCUUACUUGAACAGGAUCUGUUCUAUAGGUUGUACAUCCCUUUCCAUUGACACGGUGGAGACAUGCACAGCAAUCUGGACACAUUGCCACAUGGCUAGAGUGUGAGUACUGGACGUGGGGCCCACGGGCACCCACAAUCCAUAGGGAAUCGCUCUCAUCAAGCUAAUGGCUGAUGAGUUGCAACAUGGCAGUCUGACAGAUC